GGCAGUGUGUGAUAGUUUUCAAUGUGUGACUGUCACACAAGGGGGUGUGUGUGUGUGUGUGUGUGUGUGUGUGUGUGAAAGAGAGAGAGAGGAGGGAGAGAGAAAGAAGAAAUAAUUCCAAGUAUGGGCAAACACAGCUCAUUGGAUUCUCAGAACUUGUUAGAGCUGGAGUCUACAAUGUAGAGGAAGAAAUGGUCUAGUAUGAAGUGAAGCUGGAGAAAGGCAGUGGAAAAUCUCCACCGAAGUGCAAAUCGCAGCCACCAAAACCAGACCUACUGAAUCAAAAUAUAGAGGUAGGUCCUGGGGAUCUACAUUUGUAACAAGUUUCCUAUGUGCUUCUUACACUCACUCAAGUUGAGAUGCCAUCCACGGCAGAUGGUGGGGAAACUCUGAGGGCGUUUCCUCUUCCUUCCGUUCUUAAUCAUUAUUCUUACCAUUGAUUAGCCCCACCCAGUGGACUGAGGGGCUUAGAUCAUGGCUCAGUCUCACUUAGCCAUGACAGUGAUGUGGGCAAGAGGGGAGGACAUACCACCAUCUAUGAAAGGUAAUAGCCACCGCUAUUGACACAUCUGGCCAUUUGCCUGACUAUUCCUUGUGCUCCAGACCAAUAUAUGCAGUUCUUGGAUUGGACUGAUUGAGAAGGAAGGGGAUCCUGAAUGUUACAAUAGCCAUAAGUAAGAAGACAGUGAUAAAGCUGGGGACAUUAAGCCUCUAAGUUUUGAAGACAGAUGGAUCCUGGAGAAUGACAGUGGAUAAUCAUAAACUUGAGCAAGUGAUGACUCUAACUGCAGCUGUUGUACUAGAUAUGGUUUUAUUGCUUGAGCAAGCUCUUUAGGCCUUAAUGAUUGACAUGAUCUUGGAAAACAGGUAUGUAGCAAAACUCUCCUAGAAACCUGAAAGAUGUGGCAAGAAGAAAACAUGGAGCCUUUUCUGAACAAGCCUAUGAGAGAAGAAGAAUCACUUCAAUUUAUUAAGUGUGGAUUCUGGGGCUAAAGAACUUACCUACAACCACACAGCCAGCAAAUUACUGACCCAGCAUAUUCUGAACCCAGGUCUUUAUUCUUUCCAAAACUUCACAGCACCUUCCUCAGAGCAUCUCUACAUGAAAAUCUGUAUAAAGAAGUGAUCUGUGGUGUCGCCAUUUGUAUCAAAAUGGUAUCACAAACUUAUUUAAAAGGCUUCAUCUAAAAGUCUUCAGAGUUUUGGCCAGGGAAGAGCUCUAAUAUCACACAUUAAUAACCUUACCUUUGUAACAUGUAAAUUGUUUUUUGUUUUAACAUCUCAGUUUCAUUAAACUGAGACCAGAAAGAGCCAUCAUCUUUUUACCAAUUUGUAAUCAUUUUAUUGUGUUAUGGACCUGCAGCAAUGCUGACUAUAUUUACAAAUCUGUGAGUGAAAUUUUAAAACCAUUUUCCUCUUCUAAUCUCUCCCAUCCUGCCUUCUUAGAAGCACACAAAGCAUCUCAACCACUCCCAAAUUCCCUGUUGGAAUACCCUUAAUGAUUCUGAAAUAUUUUGUUAUUCCCCAAACACCUCCCUAAGACGAAUCACUGGACUCCAGGCUCUUCACAUUGCCAAGUUGAAUCGAGUUCAAAUGUUCUAUCUAACCAAACUCUAACUUACAACAAAGCCACAUAUAGUAGAUGAUGUGUAAGAUAUUCCGAAAAUACCAAGGCAACAGGGAAAAAAAAUCUGUGUCAUCAAGAGGUCCUCCCAGAACUUCUUGUAAUCUAGAAUAAUCAAUUUUGUCAAGCUCCUGUAACCUAAUCAUAGCACACAUGUGUAUAUAUGUAUAACUAAUAACAUAAAUCAACUUUCAUUUUAAUAAUGUAUAGCUUAAGUUUUCUCACAUCCAAAACAAUUAGUGUUGCCAAAUUUAAGAUUAUUUCUCUACUUUAGACAUCAGAACAUGCACAAGGACUUGAGGAAUAAACAAAUCCAAGAAAACAAUCUUAGCCUGAUAAAGUAAAAAUUUUGAAUAAAUUCAUAAAUCAUUUAAAACACAAUCUUGUUAAAUUAGCUAUUUCAUAGUAUGUUAUGAAUGUAAAAGCAGAACACAGAAAAGGCAUUUUCCAAAAAGAUAUAGGACUUAGUAGGAUUUCCUUUUAUGUUAAAAAAUGGCCCAUGGAAGAGCAGUUUUCAGAAUGACCAGGGCAUAGUCAGACACCUCUUUCAUUGGAAGCUUCACCAAAGGGCACACUUCUCCUGAACUCAGAGUUUUGAGUCCAGACCCAGCUCUUGCCAAAGUUCACUGGGAGUUUUGCUAAGCUUCAAGAUGAUCCCACCUGAAAGCUCUUUGGAGACAAAGUUAAGUUCUUGGCACAGGAGAAGAGAAAGUGAGACACAACCUUGUUCCUCCAGAAGUUCACAGAAGAACAAAGGAGACAGUGAUAGAAAUGAUACAUAUGCAAGGCAGCAUUUGGAAAAAUAGAGGACUAUCCGCAGUACGGUGAGAACAAGAAAGAAGAGGUGAGCCCUCUGCCUGGGCGGAUCAGGAAGGUUCCACAAAGAGACAUUCCACUGAGGCCUAAAGAAUGAGGAAGCAUGCACCAGGCAGAUGAGUGGAGAAGGGUGUUCCUGGUAUGUGGUUGUCAGGUUGCCAGACCAACACCCAAGUGUCAAUUUAACCCCAACUGUAGCUCCGCCAGUGCUGCAGGCUUAUGUCAGAAACAGAAAUGGGAUAGGUUUUUGUAGGCCAGCCUGGGAAUACUUGUUUCUGUUGGGAGAUUAGCUCUAAAACCCUCAAUAAAAGAGAGUUGGCCCUGGGCUUAUGCCAACACAUAUGUACCCACUGCCACUACCACCACUCAUCACCUUGGGCAAACAAGAAAAGCAGUUCAGUGUCAGGAGGAACAAUUCUUGCACUUUCACUUUCUUUCACUAACUGAUCUUGUGAAUGCAAGGUCAUGAGUAAGGCCUUUUGGGGACUGCACAUACAAGACAGGUCCACACUCCAAGGAGCUUAACAACAGGCUAUGCUAGGCCAGGUGCAGUGGCUCACACUUGUAAUCCCAGCACUUUGGGAGGCCGAGGCGGGUGGAUCACGAGGUCAGGAGUUUGAGAGCAGCUCGGCCAACAUAGUGAAACCCCAUCUCUACUAAAAAUCCAAAAAUUAGCCAGAUGUGGUGGCACACACCUGUAGGCCCAGCUACUCAGGAGGCUGAGGUGGGAGAACCACUUGAACCCAGGAGGCAGAGGUUGCAGAGAGCUGAGAUCAUGCCAUUGCACUCCAGCUUGGGUGUCAGAGUGAGACUCUUUUUAAAACAAACAAACAAACAAACAAAACAGGCAACAGGCUAUGCAGGCAAGACCCGUGCAUAUAAAAUAACUGAGAGUCCAAGGCAGUAGCUGCCAAAAUAAUGACACAUUCUAUAAGCACUACUGUCCUAGCCAUCACUGCUUUCUGGAGAGAAUAAUUCAAUUUAGUUGAAAAAGUGUUUUACAUUAAAUGCCCACUAAAAGUCUGUUGAUUAUGUAAGACUGCAUUCUGAAUUUCACAAGGCAGGAUCCACCAAGUUCCAUAAAUGUAAAUAAGUUUUCCUCCCAAAAGUAACAGGUUAAGUCAACUCUGGAAAGACUAUGGGGAGUUUAAUUAAUAGGAAUUCUGGUUUACUCAAUACAAGAAACACAUCAAACUGAAUAGGUAUGAAAAAGCAUUUCCCACCAGUUGAAGCUGUCUGAAUUAAAAUGAACCGCCUUGGGAGGUAAUAAGUUUCCCGUCAAGCUAGAUAAUUACUUGGCAGUGAUUUGGUAGGGGUGAUGCAAGCAUUCAAUGACCAGUAGGCUCCCUUCCAGUCCUGUGAUUGUGUGAAUUUCUGCAGCUCCCCCUUGAUAACACAAUAAAACCUGGGAACCCACACUGCAAGGUUUUCAAUGUUGAAGAUUAGCCAUGGGUUAGGCUUAUUCAGGGUACCAGAGCCUAUUCUGAAUGGUGGUGAGGAAACAGAGAAUGGGAAGGUCGAACUUCUACCAAGAACCUGACCAAACUCCCAGGGUGCUAGUCAGUAUCUGGGGAGAGCUUCAGAAUGCCAAAACUCAUUAGUGCUCAAAAAAGGUCAUAGUUAUUAGACAAGGGCACUCCAUUAUGAAGUCCUAACUAAAGAACUAAAAAAAAAAGCCCCUUGAAGACAAGAUGUGUAGGAUUCUAGAGUAUUUUGAAAGGCUCUUCCAAUGCUGACCCCUGAGGGUCCCUCAUGAAUGUUAGCACAUCCAGAUUCUUGGGAAACUCCAAGCAAAGCUGUUGUCAAAGAUGUGCCCAAGAAGAGUGCCUCCAAAAGUAAACAAGCAGGAGAUAGACAAGACAGUUAUACAGGUCUCCUGAGUAAAGUAUACAGGACUGAGAUGGUGAAUGCAGAAGAGGAGUAACAGCCUGAGGGGACCCGGACAACCAAGAAACUGGUUGUUUAAAAUCCUGGCAUCUUGUAAAUUUGUUUGAGUUCAUUGUUGAUUCUGGAUAUUAGCCCUUUGUCAGAUGAGUAGAUGGCAAAAAUU
rnacentral:lncRNA from 10 species